rnacentral:rRNA from 1 species
UGCAGUCGACGACCUUCGGGUUAGUGGCGGACGGGUGAGUAACGCGGAGAGCUGCCCUCAGGAGGGGGAUAACAGUUGGAAACGACUGCUAAUACCCCAUAUGCCGAGAGGUGAAACGAAUUUUGCCUGGGGAUGAGCUCGCGUCUGAUUAGCUUGUUGGUGGGGUAAAAGCCUACCAAGGCUUCGAUCAGUAGCUGGUCUGAGAGGACGAUCAGCCACACUGGGACUGAGAUACGGCCCAGACUCCUACGGGAGGCAGCAGUGGGGAAUUUUCCGCAAUGGGCGCAAGCCUGACGGAGCAACGCCGCGUGAGGGAUGAAGGCCUUUGGGCUGUAAACCUCUUUUCUCAAGGAAGAAGAUCUGACGGUACUUGAGGAAUAAGCCACGGCUAAUUCCGUGCCAGCAGCCGCGGUAAUACGGGAGUGGCAAGCGUUAUCCGGAAUUAUUGGGCGUAAAGCGUCCGCAGGCGGCCGUUUAAGUCUGUUGUUAAAUCGUGGAGCUCAACUCCAUCACGGCAAUGGAAACUGUUCGGCUUGAGUAUGGUAGGGGCAGAGGGAAUUUCCGGUGUAGCGGUGAAAUGCGUAGAUAUCGGGAAGAACACCAGUGGCAAAAGCGCUCUGCUGGGCCAUUACUGACGCUCAUGGACGAAAGCCAGGGGAGCGAAAGGGAUUAGAUACCCCUGUAGUCCUGGCCGUAAACGAUGAACACUAGAUGUUGGGGGAAUCGACCCCUCCGGUGUCGUAGCUAACGCGUUAAGUGUUCCGCCUGGGGAGUACGCACGCAAGUGUGAAACUCAAAGGAUUGACGGGGGCCGCACAAGCGGUGGAGUAUGUGGUUUAAUUCGAUGCGACGCGAAGAACUU